GGGCUUGUGAUUUAAGGUGGUAUAAUGCUCGCUUAGCACUACAUGUCUGCGAGAGGUCCGGGGUUCGACUCCCCGCGAGUCCA